GACGUAGGGCGCGAGCGUUGUCCGGAUUUAUUGGGCGUAAAGAGCUCGUAGGCGGCUUGUUGCGUCGACCGUGAAAACCCGUGGCUUAACUGCGGGCUUGCGGUCGAUACGGGCGGGCUGGAGUUCGGUAGGGGAGACUGGAAUUCCUGGUGUAGCGGUGAAAUGCGCAGAUAUCAGAAGAACACCCGUGGCGAAGGCGGCUCUCUGGGACGGUACCGUACGCGUGAGACGCGAAAGCGUGGGGAGCGAACAGG
rnacentral:rRNA from 1 species